CUCCCUCCCCAGGGCCCGGACCCCUAACCAACUUCCCCCUGCCGGUUUCCGGCUCCCCCUCGGGUGCCAACGAUUUCCUUUCUUUUUUGAAAUACUCCCUUGCGAGGAAUUUUCCCCCUCCCAUUGAUUUUAAGAGCUCUGCGGGAUUACUGGAUGAAAAAGUGGUGAGAAAACGAACCACAGGAAAUUACAAACAGAACAAAGCUGACGAUUUGCGGAACCCAGUGCAAACUGAAAAUGCGGGGUCCCCGGUUCAAAAGCAGGAAAGGAAAAUGCUGUUUAAAGGUCACUCACUCUGUGAGAAGCCAGCUGUCGGCCAUGAGGACAUCAAAGUUGCUGUAUGGAGAGGGUCACAUGGUAAGAAACUGAGUCUUCCUAGGAACAGCCAGUAAGGACAUGGGGCCUUCUGCCAAUAGCCUUACGAGCGAACUACCACGGAAGCAGCAUCCCAGCCCCUGUCCAGCCUUCAUAUGAAUGCAACUUCAGCUGAUCUUAACUGCAACUUCUAGGGAGAUAUAAUUCAAAAUAAAAUCUG